GCCGGCGUGGCGCAAUGGCAGCGCACCCGACUUGUAAUCGGGCGGUUCCCGGUUCGAAUCCGGGCGUCGGCU
rnacentral:tRNA from 1 species